rnacentral:tRNA from 1 species
GCUCGCGUAGCUUAAUCAAAGCAAGACACUGAAGAUGUCUAGAUGGGCGUUGAAAAACCCCGCAAGCA